rnacentral:lncRNA from 1 species
UUGGGAAACGAAGCCGGCAUUGCGUUAUAAAGGAACAAGAGGAACCACCACGUCACGCACACGCAACCAAUCAACCAGCACCACGUGUCCAAACACGACCACUUGGACAGUGGUCUCUCUUCUUCGUGUUCGUAUGGGAUUUUCUUUCUCUUGCUUUCAUAGCUGAAAUCGCCAUUUUCGUGUUCCUUUUCGGGUUUUCUGAAGGAUUCAUUAAAAGGGUGUUUUCUUCUUCUAAGCAAAGACAUGCUUUGAUGUUUCCCAAGCUUUUUUGAGCAAAAAAAUUAGUCGAUUUUUUAAAUGCACGUGAGAUGUUUGAUAAAAUGUCUAAAAGAACACUGUUGUUUGUUUCUAGGGAAAUUUUUAUAUUAAAAAAAACACAUGAAAACAUCAAAUAGAAACCUUCUCAUCUUUUUUGGAUUGAAGAAUGAAUGUUUUUAUUAAAAAAAAUACAGAAGACAAUGGAAUCACAAAAGGGCCAAAAACAGCCUUUCCCAUCAAACUAAUUUACAACAUUCUUUAAAUGGUUUCAUAAUCUGUAGAAGAAGGUAGUAGCUGAAAAAGAGUUGAAAUUGGGGGAAAACCCAAUAAAAUAAUACUAAUAAUAGAAAUGGAUUUUUGUUGUUGUUUUGAGUAUUGCAGAAGGGAUCAAAAAGACUGCUUCUUCUGGGGAUUGGAUGUUUAGAUGAAGCAAGUAAAAAGCAAUUGAGUGUGGAAAAAAAAUGAAGAAUUUUAAAGCAACGGGUCAAUGAAGCAAUUGAGG